UACAGAGGUCUCAAGCGUUGUUCGGAUUCAUUGGGCGUAAAGGGUGCGUAGGUGGCGCCGUAAGUCGGGUGUGAAAUUUCGGAGCUUAACUCCGAAACUGCAUUCGAUACUGCGGUGCUUGAGGACUGGAGAGGAGACUGGAAUUCAUGGUGUAGCAGUGAAAUGCGUAGAUAUCAAGUGGAACACCAGUGGCGAAGGCGAAUCCCUGGAAAAUACCUGACACUGAGGCACGAAAGCUAGGGGAGCAAACAGG
rnacentral:rRNA from 1 species